UCACGUGACUUCCUCCCUCCUCCCCCACCCGCCUCUCUGCGCCCCUCUCCGCCCCGCCUCCCUCCUAGGUGAAGGAAGAUGAUUUCCCCCCCAUCUUGACCACCCCCCAGUCUUCGCCGCCAAAAACGGACUCCGCCGGCUAUCCUCGGCCCGGUACCAGUUGUUGGAUCCAAGAGAAUUCCGGAACCCAAACGGCUCGCUCAAAGCACUUUAUUGGCAGUGAAACCGCAAGUAACCCGGAGCCCUCGGCGCGACCACGGCUAGAAUCAGAGCCUAAGGCGUGUGAGCUCAGCCAUCCCACGUCUGUCUUCACGCUCAUACGCAAGCCCGACACACCGGGGCUCCCACUUAAUGAAUACUGAAGAGUAGGGCUGUCCCUACCGCUUCUCACUUCCUUGUUUUCAUCUUUUCGUUAUUAUUAAGCGACCUAACACAAUAAACAUAUUACCUUGUUGGUAACCCUUUUGUAAAGUCAUUCUGAAAGUGCUGUUUGACUCCGUUGCUUGGGUAAUAAGCACGCCUGGGUGAUUCUUGCCCCCUACUGGCUGCGCAUCCUACAAGCCUAGUGCUGAAAGCAAACCAAGUAGCUGGAACAGUUGGAGGUUACAGUGUGAACUCUUCCAGAGACAAAGUAUUCGGGGAAAGAAAGGAAAAAGUAGGCACAGAAAGAAUAGGAAACUUCAGUGUUUGUACACAUAGAUAUGUAUUAUAUAUCUAUGUAUACAUUUAUAAAUAUUUUUAAAGUGCUAACUAAUCGCUUUACUAAUUACAUUAUUUCAUUUA
rnacentral:lncRNA from 1 species